GACGAACGCUGGCGGCGUGCUUAACACAUGCAAGUCGAACGGCAAGGCCCUGCUUUCGUGGGGUGCUCGAGUGGCGAACGGGUGAGUAACACGUGAGUAACCUGCCCUUGACUUUGGGAUAACUUCAGGAAACUGGGGCUAAUACCGGACAGGAGCUCCUGCUGCAUGGAGGGGGGUGGAAAGUUUAGGCGGGUGGGGAUGGACUCGCGGCUUACCAGCUUGUUGGUGGGGUGGUGGCUUACCAAGGCUUUGAAGGGUAGCCGGCCUGAGAGGGUGACCGGCGACAAUGCUACUACGAUAGGGCCCAGACUCCUACGUUAGACAGCAGUCGGGAAUCUUACACAAUGGGCGCGAGCGUGAUGCAACAGCGCCCCGUGCGUGAUGACGGCCUUCGGGUUGUAAAAAGCAUUCGCCUGUGACCAAGCGUUAGUGACGGUAAUGAGUGAAGAAGCACCGGCUAACUUCGUG
rnacentral:rRNA from 1 species